rnacentral:rRNA from 1 species
CCUACGGGCGGCUGCAGUGGGGAAUAUUGGACAAUGGGCGAAAGCCUGAUCCAGCCAUGCCGCGUGUGUGAAGAAGGCCUUCGGGUUGUAAAGCACUUUCAGUGGGGAAGAAAGCCUUGGGGCUAAUACCCUCGAGGAAGGACAUCACCCACAGAAGAAGCACCGGCUAACUCCGUGCCAGCAGCCGCGGUAAUACGGAGGGUGCGAGCGUUAAUCGGAAUUACUGGGCGUAAAGCGCGCGUAGGCGGUCUGAUAAGCCGGUUGUGAAAGCCCCGGGCUCAACCUGGGAACGGCAUCCGGAACUGUCAGGCUAGAGUGCAGGAGAGGAAGGUAGAAUUCCCGGUGUAGCGGUGAAAUGCGUAGAGAUCGGGAGGAAUACCAGUGGCGAAGGCGGCCUUCUGGACUGACACUGACGCUGAGGUGCGAAAGCGUGGGUAGCAAACAGGAUUAGAUACCCUAUAGUC